AGCAGCCGCGGUAAUUCCAGCUCCAAUAGUGUAUAUUAAAGUUGCUGCGGUUAAAAAGCUCGUAGUUGGAUUUCGGAGUUGUUAUCUGAACCGCCCCUAAAAAGGUGGCUAGGGUAGCAGUAGUCAUCAUCAAAGUCCACCUUGACAUUCUCUUGGUGCGUACUGGGUGUUGACCUCCUUUAGUUCUGUGAAUUGCUAUCUAGCAAUAGGUAGUUAGUUCCAGAUAGUUUACUUUGAAAAAAU
rnacentral:rRNA from 1 species